AAGGGUGUCCAUGCUUUUUGGCUAAGAUCAAGUGUAGUGUCUGUUCUUAUCCAUUUAAUACCGGAUGAGUCCUCUAUCCAAAGAAAUAAU
ensembl:snRNA U2 U2 spliceosomal RNA